rnacentral:rRNA from 1 species
CCGCAACGAGCGCAACCCUUAUCCUUUGUUGCCAGCGAUUAGGUCGGGAACUCAAAGGAGACUGCCAGUGAUAAACUGGAGGAAGGUGGGGAUGACGUCAAGUCAUCAUGGCCCUUACGACCAGGGCUACACACGUGCUACAAUGGCGCAUACAAAGAGAAGCGACCUCGCGAGAGCAAGCGGACCUCAUAAAGUGCGUCGUAGUCCGGAUUGGAGUCUGCAACUCGACUCCAUGAAGUCGGAAUCGCUAGUAAUCGUGGAUCAGAAUGCCACGGUGAAUACGUUCCCGGGCCUUGUACACACCGCCCGUCACACCAUGGGAGUGGGUUGCAAAAGAAGUAGGUAGCUUAACCUUCGGGAGGGCGCUUACCACUUUGUGAUUCAUGACUGGGGUGAAGUCGUAACAAGGUAACCGUAGGGGAACCUGCGGUUGGAUCACCUCCUUACCUUAAAGAA